GAUGAACGCUGGCGGCGUGCUUAACACAUGCAAGUCGAACGGACUUUUAAUGAAGCCUAGCGAUUUAAAAGUUAGUGGCGGACGGGUGAGUAACGCGUGGGUAACCUGCCUUAUACAGGGGGAUAACACUUAGAAAUAGGUGCUAAUACCGCAUAAGCGCACAGUAUCGCAUGAUACAGUGUGAAAAACUCCGGUGGUAUAAGAUGGACCCGCGUCUGAUUAGCUAGUUGGUGGGGUAAUGGCUCACCAAGGCGACGAUACGUAGGGGGACUGAGAGGUUAACCCCCCACAUUGGUACUGAGACACGGACCAAACUCCUACGGGAGGCAGCAGUGAGGAAUAUUGGUCAAUGGACGCAAGUCUGAACCAGCCAUGCCGCGUGCAGGAAGACGGCUCUAUGAGUUGUAAACUGCUUUUGUAUGAGGGUAAAAUUAGGUACGUGUACCUAACUGAAAGUAUCAUACGAAUAAGGAUCGGCUAAACUCCGUG
rnacentral:rRNA from 1 species